rnacentral:rRNA from 1 species
GGACCCGCACAAGCAGUGGAGCAUGUGGUUUAAUUCGAUGAUACGCGAGAAACCUUACCAGCUCUUGUAUCCUAGUCGCGAUUUUCAGAGAUGAAUUUCUUCAGUUCGGCUGGACUAGUGACAGGUGUUGCAUGGCUGUCGUCAGCUCGUGUCGUGAGAUGUUAGUUAAGUCCUUUAACGAGCGCAACCCCUAUCCUUAUUUGCCAUCAGGUUAUGCUGGGAACUAUAAGGAAACUGCCAACGACAAGUUGGAGGAAGGUGGGGAUGAUGUCAAGUCAUCAUGGCCCUUAUGGCUGGGCUACACACAUGCUACAAUGGUGGUUACAAUAGGUCGCGAAAGAGUAAUCUGGAGCC